GUUUGCCCUUGGUUCUGUACAUACUUAUGCUGCUGCUUAAAUGCCCUUUGCAUCAGUUCACUUCUAGAUUUUCUCUUAGUGUUUGGCUGAAUUGUUUGAGUUCGUCUCACCUCACACACAUUACUUGAGGAGCACACGACAGGCAGUUAAACAAAUAAGAAAUGUUUCUAGAUAGUGAUAAAAAGGCACUAAAAUAUUUAUCAGCCUUAGCUUUCGGAGGUUUCACAAAUCUUAAUGCACCAUGAAUAAAAUAAAACCAAUAAUUAGAUAUAAACAAAUAUUACCCUGUUAUAAGACUGUGGUGUGGCAAAACUAACAAAUCUACAUGCAUGCUUUCCACCUGCCUGCAUUUCUCUAAUCCCCCUUUCCUUCUUUUGUCCCUUUGAUGACAAACACAGUCAAUGUUGUCUGCCAUGCCACUCGUGUAUAAGUGGAGGCCUUUGUGAGUUUUCCAUCUCACAGUGAGACCAUUCCCUUGCAGACCUCGGUUGACAUGAACCUGCCGGGUCAUUCUGCCCGAGUGUUGGUGACAAACUGCCCGCUCUGGAUUCUACCUUUGGAGGCCAAAGAGAUUAAAUGGCUAAUAGAGUCGAGGAGCUGCUAUUCCCUGCAUGGCAAGAGAAGAGACAUACAUGAGGGGAGAAGGCUGGCCGAGGAGCCACCAAGAAAGGAGAAGAGGAAUCAGAAAGAGGUUUUUGGUGGAAGAUGGAGACAAAGUUGGGGAACGGGGCAGUGAAAAAGUGAAAGAAGGACAAAUAAAAUGAAUAAGAGGUCAAGUUCUCCGAAAAUCACUCCCUUUGCCUGAACUCCUUCUCCUGUAAGUCACCUCCAGACUGACUACACUUCGCAGGACAUAGCCUGUCUGCAGCUUUUACUUGUAACUGCUUUGCUGUUCCUGUACUUGGGCCUCCCCUUUUCUUACACACCUCUUACAACAACAGACACACCUAUAGCAGGCUGGAGAUGAGAGCAGUGCAGUGGUGCUUUUGGAGACAACAGACCUGGAACUGAGUAAAAGCUCUGUCAAUUACUAGUUAUGAUGUGAGUAUCAUUACUUUAGCUAACACUUGCCAGUUUAACAAGUGACAAAUUAUGUGCCAUUGUUUUAACUGAAUUUCUUUGAUUGCUAAAUAAAAAAAAGUCUUUGAAAAUGAUUGCUUGUGAUUGUGCUUUGUCCUCCAGGCCCUGGUUUUCCCAUGGGUUUAGUAGACGAUAUUUGGGCCUUUCUUCAGAGCAGUUAGAAGAACUGGG
rnacentral:lncRNA from 1 species